GAACAACACAUAAGUUAUUACAUUGAAUAAGAAAAAUCGCAUCUGUGCCACAAGCUAGACAAAGGGGUGGACAAUACUUGUCUCAAACGAAAAUUGUUGAAGAUUCCCUAAUCUAGAGAUAGUUUACGGAUGAAGGAAAGGAUUUCCUCCGAAACAAUUUGAGCUUUCUCUUGAUGUAUAUGGUGGUGACCAUCUAGUAUAACCACUUCAAGGUUGGGAACAAGACUCUUGAAAAUAUCACCUUCCACAAAAUCUUUUGUACCCCCAUUUUGAAAACCAACAUCUUUGUCUCCAGCAAUAAACUUAGUUGGAACUGUUAUCUUUGAUCCUUGCCAUGGUGCUAGAAGCUCCCAGCUUCUGUCCAUUGCGCGGUAGUAAUUGAAUGCACCAGUGAAACCAGACUCUUGGAAUUUGUCUGCAAAAACCAUGAGUUCUUCCUCAGUUAUCCACGACGGCAAAACCGAAGGAGUUGGCAAGAAAUCAACGAUCUCCAUGCCAGGAGGAGCUGUUAUAAAAUGUGUCCAUGUAAUCAGUAAAA
rnacentral:lncRNA from 1 species